AUUGAACGCUGGCGGCAGGCCUAACACAUGCAAGUCGAGCGGAUGAAGGGAGCUUGCUCCUGGAUUCAGCGGCGGACGGGUGAGUAACGCCUAGGAAUCUGCCUGGUAGUGGGGGAUAACGUCCGGAAACGGGCGCUAAUACCGCAUACGUCCUGAGGGAGAAAGUGGGGGAUCUUCGGACCUCACGCUAUCAGAUGAGCCUAGGUCGGAUUAGCUAGUUGGUGGGGUAAAGGCCUACCAAGGCGACGAUCCGUAACUGGUCUGAGAGGAUGAUCAGUCACACUGGAACUGAGACACGGUCCAGACUCCUACGGGAGGCAGCAGUGGGGAAUAUUGGACAAUGGGCGAAAGCCUGAUCCAGCCAUGCCGCGUGUGUGAAGAAGGUCUUCGGAUUGUAAAGCACUUUAAGUUAGGAGGAAGGGCAGUAAGUUAAUACCUUGCUGUUUUGACGUUACCAACAGAAUAAGCACCGGCUAACUUCGUG
rnacentral:rRNA from 1 species